AUAGAUCCCGUCUAUUCGUUUCCACAAGAUUCCUGCUCGUAGGGGUGAGGGAAGAGUUCUCAGCGCUCCGUGUAUGAGUAACAUUAGAUUCUAGGAUCAGGAUUCUUCCCAGAGAAGUCAGUGGAGUUCAUAGACCUCCAGGAGGGAGGAGAACGUGUGGGUCAUUUAUUGAAUGGAGGCGAUGAUGGUCCCCUAAAUGGUGUUUUUGGAGGCCUCGAUGAUCAACUUGUUGGUGGUUUCCAUGCAGGAGGCAAUGGUGGUCUUGGUCUUCGUCGCAGAUACUUGGGCAAACAAAACUUCACAUAGUUUUGGAACUCAGGAUCCCAACACCGAUGAGUCCGACACCGAACAAAUGGAUCACAUGACGAUUUUCUGAAAAUUCUCUUAAUCGUCUCUUUACAGAUUUCUCUAAUUCUUUAUCGUUGAUUGUUACCAAAUUUUCUCUCUUCUAAUCAAAUCUUAUAUCAGAAAAUUAAUUUUCUUCUAAUCAAACUUUAAAUCAAUA